UAAAAAACGCUCAGUUGCGGCUUGGACAUUGACCAAUACGGACGUGUUUUUAAAGCGCUCUGAAAAAAGUUUUGACUUUUAAAUUUUUUUUACUACGACAGAAUCUUAGUUGACUGAUGGUCUUUGACAAAGACAGACUUGUUUUUGUGAGCUCUGAAAAAAAUUUGACUUUGAAAUAUUUUUACGAUUAAAAAGUUUCAGUUGACUUUUGAACGUUGACGAAGACGGACGUACUUUCGUGAGCUCUGACUAUUGAUGAAAAGUUUUGAGUUUUACUGACUUGUACUUUGAGAGUAAAAUUGACUUCGCGUUAUAGAAUAGCGACUUGGUACUCAGGUUGUUGAAUGACUGGAUGACUGUAGUGUUAGGUUAUUGUUAUGAGAUAACAACUUGACUUUGACUUGAGUUGUGAAAUGAAAUCAUACUCUUAUGCGAUGUUAACUUUUGAACGUUUAGUAUUGACUGACAACGAACUUUUGUGAGCGUUAUAUAUGAAAUGUUUGACUUACAUUAAUUUUUUUGAACGACUUGACUUCACUUUAAGUUUUGACAUCGGACUGAUCGGACGUGUUUUUUUAAGCCCUGACUGUUGUGAAUAAUUAAAUUUAUGUUGUGGUGUCAAGCGAUUGACUGUCAGUUGAGGUUCAGAUGUCGAGCUGUGCGGACGUGUUCAUCGAGCUGCUGUCUACAAAAAACGUGAGUACAAAUUUUUUUCGUUUUACUGUUUACAAGUUGCGUGAUGAUGUAUGAUGGUUGUAAUGUGUUGGGUAGAAAUUACUCAGUGCUGAUACAGUGUCGAUAUGUUGUGAUGAGCGAUAAUAGUGGAUGAUGGUGGAACAGAAUAUUCAUUGAGCUAUUUUGAGGAAGCGAACAUAUGAUGGAAAAAUGUUGCAAAAAUAUUAAAUGACAAUGUAUUGAAUCGCUUUUGUUGAUAUGUAUGAUAUUGAUUAAAUUGUAUUUGCAUGCUGUAACAUUUCUAUUCCAUUUCAGGGGGCUGUGGUGAGUAUUGUAGUAUAAAUUUGUUUCAAUAAAUCAUGAUGAAUGAAAACUGAUUUUGAUUCGUUUUGUACAGGUUUACUUGUAUAGAAGUGUAAUGCGUUGGGUAGAAAUUAGAAUCUACUCAGUACUGAUAUAGUGUCGAUAUGUUGUGAUUAGCGAUGAUGGUGUAUGAUGGUGGAACAGAACAUGAGCUACUUUGGGGAAACGAACAUAUGAUUGAACAAUGAUUGCAAACAUAUUAGAUGAAUGAUAUGAUAUUGCUUAAAUUGUAUUUGCAUGCUGUAACAUUUCUAUUUCAUUUCAGGGUGCUGUGGUGAGUACUGUAGAUUGUAGUGCAUAUGUAUAGAAUUCAAUAAAAGAUUAUGACUGAAAACUGCUUUUGAUUCUUAUUGUACAGUUUUAGGGAUUAUAAGUCUAUAGCAACUCUGUCGGUUGGUGUUCAUGAGUGUGAGCUUAAUACAGCAAUGUUUGAGUAGUACAAAAAUGUUUUCGCUUUUGUGGUCGCCAGCUGUCCGUGAUCUGUAAAGUGAAAAUACACAGAGCUAUGAAGCAUACAGAUGUUUCGAAAUUUUAUCAAUGAUUGUAUACUAUGCAUGUUUUGAUUUAGUUCGUUUCAGAUUUGACAUGAGAUGAAAACCUGACAUGAUUUGAACAGAGCUGGGAAAUGAAAAGGUAAGUCUGUUUCAUUCCACUAUGAACACUUGUAUUUUGACAAAAGAAGAGAUAAAGUGAGUUACUUUAUCAUCAUGGUUUCAUUUGGUGUAUAACACAUGAACAGAGGUAAACCUAGCUAGCUUUUCGUGUACUCUAUUUUGGAUGAUGAGUAUGUCAGUAACUUUAAUUGUACGGCUAGUAAAGUAUGAACAUGAAUGCUUUGUUCAGAUUUUCAGAUGUGUGCUGGCAGUUCAAGUCUGGCAGCUGGAGUGAACAGUCGUGUUUUCUGGAGCUCCAACAAUAUGCUAGAAGGUAAGUAACUAUGUUUGUUUUGCAUUGCAUGUUUUUAUAUGUUUCAGACUUUCAAGCAGAGAUGUCAUGCUGACUGGAGUUGAGCACAGGGCAGUGACAAAGUGAAAGGUAAGUACUUUUGACUGAAUGUUUGUUCUAUGCAUGUUUUGUUUCAAUACAUUUCAGGAGUGCUUAUCCAGUGAUGAUAUGACAGUUGGAGUGAACAGUGGAGCCAAGCAGUCUUGUUUUUGGAGCUACUCAACAAGCCUUGAAGGUAAGUUUAGAAUUUCUCAAUGUUAGUGAAUUGAAGUACUGUCACUUGCUUUUGGACAGUCGAACAGAACAGACGUGGUUGCGAGAGCUCUCAUAUCUGUUGUGUUAAACUGUUUUUAUGAUAUGUUAUGUUUGUUUGUUUGUUUGUGAUGUACUAUUUUUCAGAUGCUGAUGGCAGUGAUGGGUUUUCAAGCUGACCUGAACAGAAAAGCACUCAUAUGGUAAGUACAAAAUAGUUGUUAUAUGGGAUGUUUUGUGCAUGCUUUUAUGUUUCAGGUGUACUUGCUGACAGCGACGAAGACGAAUCAAGAAGAGGAACAUUGUUGAGAAAGUGAUUGGGACUUGAAAACAGGGUAAGUGUAACACUUGUGUUUGUUUAAUUUGUAACAUGCGUGCUUUGCUCUGUUUCAGAUUUCACAUGCAGAAAUUAAACAGGAUUUCAACUGCUGAGACACAAAUCAUCAAAAGUAAGGUAAGUUUUAAUCCAUUGAUUUGAGUUGUACAAUGUGUUCUUUACUUUAUUUCAGAUUCGAGUCACUGGUUUACACAUGGAAGAAGAUUUCCACGUCUGUUACUCAACUCUACAGAAGCAAGGUAAGUCGAUCAAAUUUUUGUUUUCAUUUGUACUGCUGUAAUGUGAUGGUAAACUUAUGCUAUUUUUCAUGUGUGUCAUGUACAGAUGGAUAAUUCAAGUUUGAUCUGUGUUGGUUUAUGUUCAAAAACGUUUUACAUGUAUGUGUGUUUGAAGAUGUUUUGUUUCAGUGGAUGUCCAGAUGGCAAGCAGUACAGACGUGUUUCUUGGAGCUGCCAAACAGUGAGUACAAACGUUUUAUAUUUUUCAGUUGUUUACUCAUAGAAGUCUGUGAAAGAUGAUAACAAGGGUUGAAUCUAUCAGUACUUGUGUCUAAAAAUGCUGAUGUGCGACGGUUUACUGAAAAGGGUAAAUGCUAGCCAGUACUAACACUUGAGCAACCGUGGGAUGUCGAACUAACUGAUGAUGCACUAUGAUGGUGAACACUUACUAUGUGUAUCGAAAUGCUUUUGUUGAUAUUUAUUAUAGAUGAUUUGAUAUUGGUUAACAUUUGUUUGCAUGCUGUUAACAUUUCUAUUUCAUUUCAGGGAGCUGUGGUGAGUAUUGUAGUAUACAUUUGUUUCAAUAAUGUUUGAGUAGUACAAAAAUGUCUUUACUUUUGUGAUCGCCAGUUGUCUGUGAUAUGUAACGUAAACAAAAAACACAGCUAUAAAGCAUACAAUUGUUUCGAAAUUUUAUCAAUGAUUGUAUACUAUGCAUGUUUUGAUUUAGUUCGUUUCAGAUAUGACAUGACAUGAAGAGUUGACAGUCGAACAGAGCUGAGCAAUGCAGAAAGGUAAGUGUGUUUCAUUUUUAGUAUGAACACUUGUAUUUUGUUUUUAUAUGGUAUGUUUUGUGCAUGCUAUGUUUCAGGUGUACUUGUAGUCAGCGACGAAGACGAUUCAAGAAGAGGAACAUUGCUGAGAAAGUGAAUGGGACAUGCAAACAGGGUAAGUGUUACAAUUGUUGGUUUGAUUUUUACCAUGCAUACUUUGCUUUACUCUGUUUCAGAUUUCACAUGCAGAAAUGGUCUCAUAGCAGUGCCAACAGUGAAUAAGGAUUUCAUCUGCUGUGAAACAACUCAACAGAAAGUAGGUAAGCAUUGAAUGAAUGCACUUGAGCUGUACAAUUUGAUGUGAUGCUUUUCUCUGUUUCAGAUUCAAGUUCCUGGUGUAGACAGAGAAAUGUGUUUGAAGAAGGAAUUCUACUACUGUGAUUCAACUCUACAGAAGCAAGGUAAGUAGAAACAAAAUUUUGGUUUAAUUUAACUCAUGUGUUUUGCACUGCAUGCUAUUUUUCAGGUCUCUCGUGCAGUGAUGGAAAAGAAGAAGAUUUCAAGAAAGAAUCACUGCUGCAACUCAGGCCUAUAACAAGGUAAGUGUUUACUAUAUUGUAUACAAAAUGUUUCUCUGUUUUACUCUGUUUCAGGUUUCAAUUGCAAAGAUGUUGCAGAGAUGUUUUGACAGCUUGAGACAGAAAAGAAAUUCAGCAGCUGUGUCUCGACUCUAGCCACGAGGUAAGUCAAAACAAAUAUACUGGUUUGUAUGUAAUGUUGUUAUGCCCUUCUAUGUUUCAGACUUACAUUGCUGUGACUGUUCCACAGUGGGUCAAAAAAGAGACGAAUACAGGUUUCAAGAAGAAAAUUGGCUGUUGAAAACCUGCACAAAAUAUGAGGUAAGUAAACUAUUCUUUUGGUUUGUUUUGUGCUUUGUUAUGCUUGACUAUUUUUCAGAUUGGAAUGGUGGGUCGUUACAGAGCAGACUUUUGGACAACUGAGAAGUUGAGAAACAGAGAAUGAUUCAAUAUCAGCUAGGUAAGUCUUGAUUAUUCUGCAUUGUAAAAUGUGUUUCUUUUUCAUUUCAGUAUGGCUGUGGUAAGUACACUAACUUUCUAUAAUUUCAUAUUGAACUGUUUUGAUGACUUGUAUUAUGCAUUGCUAAAUGUUUUUUUCAUUUCAGUAUCCUGUGGUAAGUACACUAACUUUCUAUAAUUUCAUAUUGAACUGUUUUGAUGAUUUGUAUACUGCUAUGCAUUGCUAAAUGUUUUUUUCAUUUCAGUAUAGCUGUGGUAAGUACACUAACUUUCUUUAAUUUUCAUAUUGAACUGUUUUGAUGACUUGUAUUCUGCUAUACAAAAUGUGCUUUUUUCAAUUUCAGGUCAGCAAUGGUAAGUAUAUUGUGUUUCUUUAUGUAUAAUUUUGUAUACAUAUUGUUUUUUUCAUCAUAGCAUGUUUUUUAUAUUUAUGCUUUGUGUAAGUAAAAUGUUCAUAAAUCAUUCUUAUCUUUAAACUAAAAAUGUAUUUUGAUAUGCAAAAUGUCUGUAUGAUUUCAGUUGCCAGAGGUGAGUACCAUUACAGUUGAAAAGUUAGUUUUGUUUAGUUAAAGUUUUGGUUCACAGUUCUGUUUAUUAUUUGGCAAAAUUUACAUGUAUGCAUUGAGUCUUGAUUUCAGCUCGAUUGUGGACUGAAGAAGAUUGCCAGCAGAGGGAUUGGAUACAAAAUACAAAGUAAGUACUGAGUUUCUUACUAAAAGUUUUGAGUUGUAUUCAUUGUGUGUUAAUAUGCUAUGAUUGCUAUGAACAUGACUUUUGUAUUUCAGCGAAGACAACAUAGGUAAGUAAAAUUGUUAUCUGUUUCAAGUUUACUGUUAUAGUUCAAUAUUGUGUUUAUAAAUUGUAAGUUGUACAAACACAUUCAAAAGUUUCUGAUCAUGCUUUCAAUUUCAUUUCAGCCCUACUACAAGACGAGUGUUUUCUACUACUAGACGUGUCAGGUUUACUUCCAGGCGAGCAGUGACAACAAGGCGCCUUUGUGGAAACAGCAAAACAAACAACUCUACUGCAAGACGAGCAGUAACAGCAAGGCGCCUGAACAUGCAACACAAUACAAAAAAUGCCAAUUUGCAAACCUUGAUGUGGACACCGAGUAGUCAAUACAUACGUGUGGCGUAUAGCUGCGACAAAACCGUGGGUCCAUCGCACCGAUAACUUGAACAUUGGCCCGUGUAUGGACAUCAGUGCAACUUUGUGAAUCCAUGUAACUUUGUGAAUCCAUGUAACAUUGCGAAUGUGUGUCGAUCGAAAAAUGUGUACAUUCUGCACUGAAACGAACUCGGUGUUGCAAGUGGCAAGUGUUGACAGUGUGUAUGUUUAUGUUUAUGUUUUUACAUGAAAAAUAAAGGAGAUUGUUCUCCUACCUUUUUUUCCUUGUUUUAUUGUGCUGGCCAGCAAUAUUGAUGUAUUGAUGUAUUGAUGUAUGUGUUUGUGUAUUAACGAUGUAUUAACUAUGCAUUACCAAAAUCAAACAAAACUUUGGCACAAGAGACUCUAAGUAUCAAAUACCAACAAUUUAGACGCAGACAAUCACAUGGUGGUACACCAGUCCGAAUAUACUCAUUGCUCUAGCCAGGAUUGCAAAUUACUUGUGUUGACUAGCAAGGCUCCCUAGUAACGGAGCAGUGUUACUGGCGUUUUUUGGGUCGAUAGUGCUUAGGUGAGGUUUUGCUCGAAUCGGGAGCGGGUCACUCGCUUGGGCGAGUUAGUUUUCGCUCGUAGUUUCCAAUCUGGCUAGAUCAAUGUAAGGUUGUUUUGACUGCUAUUUGGCAAGCAGAAAGACAACAGCGGUUAAUUGACUGAGUAUGGGCGACCGAGGUAUGUAGGUGUCAAUAGACCGACUCCACAAGUUGCGAAGCGAACCGAUAGCACUUGAGGGGAAACGCCUCGGUUUUCGGUUCUAACAUGUGUUAUCCAUGCUGUCGUUAUACUCUGGCAAGGCUCCUCAAUCUAUCGCGAGGGACACUCAUUAUUGCCCGCAAGCUUUAGAACCUGACGUGGGUCGAUGCGUAUGCGAGUCCGAGGACGCGAUGGCAUUUGAUAAGGCUACCAACCGGUUGAUAACACGCAUUGUUCAAAUUGUUAGGUUUAAGUCUGCUAGGGCUGGGGUGGGAA